rnacentral:snoRNA from 1 species
UGGAGAUGUGAUGAUGUUUGUCCACCUAUUCUGCAAUUGAAUGAUGAUUGUAAAACAUGCACUACCAUCUGAUCUCUA